AUUGAACGCUGGCGGCAGGCCUAACACAUGCAAGUCGAACGAGUGGCGGACGGGUGAGUAAUGUCUGGGAAACUGCCUGAUGGAGGGGGAUAACUACUGGAAACGUUAGCCAAUACCGCAUCCCAUCACAUGUGCCCAGAUGGGAUUAGCUUUUUGGUGGGGUAACGGCUCACCAGGGCGACGCGCCCUAGCUGGUCUGAGAGGAUGACCAGCCACACGGGAACUGAGAAACGGUCCAGACUCCUACGGGAGGAAGCAGUGGGGAAUAUUGCACAAUGGGCGCAGGCCUGAUGAAGACAUGCCGCGUGUAUGAAGAAGGCCUUCGGGUUGAAAAGUACUUUCAGCGGGGAGGCGUUACCCGAAGAAGAAGCAACGGCUAACUCCGUGCCAGAAGCCGCGGUAAUUC
rnacentral:rRNA from 1 species